rnacentral:tRNA from 1 species
GUGCAUAUGGUGUAGGUGGCAGCAUAUCUCACUGUGACUGAGACGGCAUGGGUUCAAACCCCAUUAUGUACCCCA